AUUCAAUUAUCAAUAUUACGGCAAACAUUUUAGUCGCUAUCGCAUGAACUUUGUUUCUUAUAAUAAAACUAUUGUUUCGUAUACUUCAAGAUCUUGAGAAAAAUUUAAGGUUCUUCUUAGAAUGUAAAUCUUCCGAGACCAGAGCAAAUCAUAUUCCUCUUGUACUAUCUAUUUUUCAACGUUGAUACCAAUUUUAUUUGUAAAGUACAAAAUAUUACAAAACAAAAGUAAUCAUCGAAAAAAGGAGUGAAUACGAAGCUGCUCCAUAUUCCGAGCUGUGAAGGCAUUGCUAUUGUUCACGAUGAACCAGCCAGGAAGAAGAAUAAAAUUGUAGGAGCAUUACCAUCAUUGAUGUUACGUUAAUGAGGAGACUCGUAUUAUUUAUCAAACACAUAACGAUCUUUUAAUGGAUUUCUGACAAAAGAGAUUGCCGUUUGCCAAGCAUUCUUCAGACAUUAUCCGAAUCCUUAUGCGACUCACGUUUUAUCGGAGAAUAUCCUGUAUCGAGAAGUUGGCGGCACAAAUCUCUUCAGGACAAGUAUUUUUUGCAAGAGUUACCGCUUCGUUACCAAACCGGACUCGGAAACUAACGAACGUAGUUUUUCCAACAAUCUUUCGUGUGGACAGAUGUUGGCAGAACUAUUAGACUACGUUUCGCACUUCUAACGUCAGGAUCCAAGAUAAUUGACACAAAUAUUAGGAACCUUGCAACUAAUAAUAUGUACAUUUUUUAAUUUGCAAGGUAUAAGAUAUAACUUUCUUUGAUCUCUUGAUCGAUCGGUGCUUUUAUCGCUGCCGCAUCAAGCAUCUAUCUCAAGCAACAAAAAUACAUUUGAAGAGAGACUAUUUGCAAUAAAUUUUAAUAAUUUUUGAGCGAAUUUAGGUACUGAUCCUCAUGAAAAGCAUUGUCGAUUUCAUCGCGAUAGACUAGUCUCGUUAACUGGGAACUCGCCGAUCACAGAAAAUUAGUAGUCACCACGGAAACGACCGAAUAUAUAUCCAACCGCGACGAUCCUGAUAAAACUCUGAUGACUCAUCGUACCAGCGUCCAAUCGCCUUUCAAUUGCGAUCUCCUGGGUCGAAUAAUCAGGGGAGCCUGUCACGCACGAACAGUUAAGAACAGUACAGAUAAAGAAGGAAAAAAAGAAGAGGGAAAAAGCAUUGCAUCUUGCACUUGUCUUGAAAGCAGUCAAAACUAAUCGUCGAUAUCUAAAAGUUAUAAACGAGUGAAUUACAAGACAAUUUUGCUGCGUAAAGAUUUCUUUAUGUGCUCGCGCAACAAAAUGAAAGAUUUUCAAGAAAGCCAAGAAUCGCCAUCGAUUGACUUCAUAAUGCAACUAAUUUCGUCAAUAAAUUACGCGACUACAUGAUAAACAGUUGCAAACUUUGAACUUACUAUGUAUUUCUACCGAAACAUAAUUUUACAAUAUUU